UACAGAGGGUGCGAGCGUUGUUCGGAAUUACUGGGCGUAAAGAGCGUGUAGGCGGCCGGGCAAGUCGGAUGUGAAAGCCCUGGGCUUAACCCAGGAAGUGCAUUCGAAACUGCUCGGCUAGAGUACGGGAGAGGGUGGUGGAAUUCCCAGUGUAGAGGUGAAAUUCGUAGAUAUUGGGAGGAACACCGGUGGCGAAAGCGACCACCUGGACCGAUACUGACGCUGAGACGCGAAAGCGUGGGGAGCAAACAGGAUUAGAUACCCCAGUAGUCC
rnacentral:rRNA from 1 species